UACGAAGGGGGCUAGCGUUGUUCGGAAUUACUGGGCGUAAAGGGCGCGUAGGCGGUGUGUCAAGUCAGGCGUGAAAGCCCCGGGCUCAACCUGGGAACCGCGCUUGAGACUGGCACGCUCGAGUUCGGGAGAGGAUGGUGGAAUUCCCAGUGUAGAGGUGAAAUGCGUAGAGAUCGGGAGGAACAUCAGUGGCGAAGGCGGCCAUCUGGGACAACACUGACGCUGAAGCACGAAAGCGUGGGGAGCAAACAGG
rnacentral:rRNA from 1 species